GCGAGAAAGGCUAGACAUGCUAAUCUAAAUGCUCAAUUGCUCUGUUUUGCUGCCGCUUUAUAAAUAAAAGCUACAAACGCUACAGUUCAACUGUUCUUAGUAUAAUUCUUCAACAACUUCAAGGAAAACAAGCCACAAAACAUUUUGUAGCGGCUAAGUGACUAUCAGAGGACAUGUCUUCCCCAAAAUGGCAGCGUGUCAGAUGUCUCUCUGUUGAGGACACCUAAGAUGUGCCUAUGCAGGGUUUUGGCUCUGGAUUCUGUAAGGCAACUAUUCUCCACCCUGCUUCUGCACUCAUGAGACCAGUGAUGCAGUUGUUGGCACGACUGACGUGAAAACAGAGGAUGGCAUCUUCACUGACACUGAAGUAGACAACGCAGCAUUGACCAAAAACAGAAUGCCCAGGACCAGUGCCCAGGAAAAGACAGAAAGCCAGAUGAACAAUUAAACGACCGUUCAAACAUCAGAAUGACAAUGAGCUAAAACUACCAUAAAUAAAGAAAUAUGUGCAAUGCAGCUAUGACUUACAGUAUUUAAGGGAACAAAGCUGUUGCUGUAGCGCUUUGUUCUGCUCCUUGGGACCCUGAGCCUCCAAACAGAUGGAAGGAGUUGGAACUCACCAGUCGGCAUUCCGCUGUAACUGUCUGGUAGGCUCACCAAUGAGUGGACUAGACCAGCUGAUAAUUAGGCUCAGUCUGUUUCCAAACCUUAACAUCACACAAAAAAGCAGAACAGAGUCAAUAAACGUACAAAAGAACAUAAUUAUCAUGUUUUUUUCCACGUGGAAUUAGGCAAA